rnacentral:rRNA from 1 species
UACGGAAAGCUGCGGCAAGUACGGAAAAGCUGAGAGCAGGCUUCCAGGAAAAGCUUCUAGCACAACACGCAUCGGCCCGUACCGAAAAUGGACACACAUGGGCAAGGAGAGAAUCCUGAGGUGAGCGAGAGAACUAUAGCUAAGGAACUCUGCAAAAUGACCCCGUAACUUAGGGAGAAGGGGUGCUCCAGAAAUGGAGCCGCAGUAAAACGGCCCAAGCGACUGUUUACCAAAAACACAGCUCUCUGCGAAGGCGCAAGCCGAAGUAUAGGGGGUGACGCCUGCCCGGUGCUGGAAGGUCAAGGGGAGCUGUCAGCGCAAGCGAAGCAGCGAGCCGAAGCCCCAGUAAACGGCGGCCGUAACAAUAACGGUCCUAAGGUAGCGAAAUUCCUUGUCGGGCAAGUUCCGACCCGCACGAAAGGCGUAACGAUUUGGGCGCUGUCUCAGCUGUAGACUCGGUGAAGUCUUAGUACCUGUGAAGAUGCAGGUUGCCCGCGACUAGACGGAAAGACCCCAUGGAGCUUCACUGCAGGUUGACAUUGGGCUUGGAUGCAUGAUGUACAGGAUAGGUGGGAGGCUGUGAGCCGUGCGCGCCAGCGUACGGGGAGCCGCUGUUGGGAUACCACCCUUCAUGCAUCUAGGUCCUAACCGGAGGCAACGGGCCACGGGACAGUGUCAGUCGGGCAGUUUGACUGGGGCGGUCGCCUCCCAAAGAGUAACGGAGGCGCCCAAAGAUACCCUCAGCAUGGAUGGAAACCAUGCAUAGGGUGCAAAGGCAUAAGGGUAUCUGACUGCGAGACAUACAGGUCGAGCAGGGACGAAAGUCGGGCUUAGUGAUCCGGCGGAUCCGAAUGGAAGGGCCGUCGCUCAACGGAUAAAAGCUACCCUGGGGAUAACAGGCUGAUCUCCCCCAAGAGUUCACAUCGACGGGGAGGUUUGGCACCUCGAUGUCAGCUCAUCGCAUCCUGGAGCUGAAGUCGGUUCCAAGGGUUGGGCUGUUCGCCCAUUAAAGCGGUACGCGAGCUGGGUUCAGAACGUCGUGAGACAGUUCGGUCCCUAUCUGUCGUGGGCGCAGGAGGUUUGAGGAGAGCUGCCCCUAGUACGAGAGGACCGGGGUGGACGGACCGAUGGUGCACCAGUUGUCACGCCAGUGGCACAGCUGGGCAGCCAAGUCCGGACGGGAUAAGCGCUGAAGGCAUCUAAGCGUGAAGCCCCCUCC